UCCCUGGUGGCCCAGUGGUUAGGAUUUGGCGCUUUCACAGUGGAGGCCCAGGUUCGAUCCCUGGCCAGGGAA